CUCCAGGGUAUGCCAGCUGAGGUUGAAGAAGGAACACAUAUCAACUUCUUCCCAAGUGCCUGAGCUGCCCGAGCUGACCACACUGAGUUCUUAACGCUGAAGUUCCUCAAGCAGGAGCCCACCAGAAGGAAGGGGCAUGGCCACAGCAUUCCCUCUGGUUCCCUCCCAUCAGGUAUUCCAUUGUAUGGAUAUACUCCAUUUGGUUAUUUACCUAUUGAUGGGCAUGAAUGGACACUCUGCAAGAUGCCUGCGAACCCUGCUCCUGGAACAUUUGGGUCUCUGUCUGCCUACUGUCUCUCAGAGGGGGAGAAGAAAGUUUUGAGAAGCUACACAUUCUUUGCUUGAGGAAUCCAGCUGAGCCUCCAAGUUGAUUUAUUUGAUUACGUGUCCAGGACCCAGUGUUUUUUCCAGGGCUGCUGUCAAAACUAUCUUUCCAUGUUGAGAAAUCAAUUUUCUUCCCUCAGCUGAAAUGGCUUUACAAAAUGUACGCUUGAGAGAGGCCUUCAUUUUAUAAGAUACUUCUUGAGUGGUGUGCCUCUUGACACAUACUCUCCUGGAGGGGCUUACAUGAGAAGGAGUCUUGACUCCAUUUAUGGCCUCUUCAUCCUCUUAGCUUUCUAAAGAAGGUAGUUCCAUCAGGUAGCUUUUAAGCAGCUCUUUUCAUUGCCUAACAGAUAGAUUGCAUGCAAAUUCUACCUGCAUUUUUCCAAGUAGUAAUAUCCCUGAGAUAUCUUAGCAGGAAGUCCCAUGCCAAGGAAAUGUGACAUUUGCAGCAAGAAACAACACUGCUAUGCCACACAUCCAUGGGACAGUCUGGGGAGAAGGAUGAGGAGAUAAAAUGAGAACAGGGGAACAAGGUGGAUUUGGAAGGGAGCGGUUGUAGGGGAGGCAAACUUUUCCCUUUACUGUCUUAGGGUUCUUUUUGGCGGGGCCUGAGAAUUAAAUCAACAUAAGAGAGAUCAACAGGAAAACAACACACAGUUUUAUUUAAUACAAGUUUUAUGUGAAACGGGAGCCUUCAUAAGAAAAUAAAGACUCAAGGAAAUGGUGAAACCUAUUUGCUUUUGUAUUAGGUUGAACAAAGAACAACUGUGAAAAAGUGACUAAACUAUGUUGGGAGAUGAAAGGAAGAGAAGAAUUAUUUUAACAAGAUCUGUUUGCAUAGAAUUCUGUCAACCUCAAUUUAUCAUUGAUAUGAAUGUUACUUUCCUUCUGGCAGAGGGAACACAUCUUUCAUAUGGGGAUUUCAUCUCCUGCUUUUAAGAAAAAGAAAAAUGGUCAAGGGGUUUUCCUUGUAUUUGCUGUUUUUCAGGUAUGUUUACCUCAAAGUAGUCAAUAUGCCAGAGUGGUGUAUUUUAGGGUGCUGUGUUCUGAACUCCUUCACAACACAGUAUGAAGUGAAGUGGUAAAGGUGGUAGUUAAGAGCACUAGGCUUCUGACCAAGCUGGGUUUGAAUCCUGGCUCUGCCACUCACCAGCUGAGUUCCUGCAAGUUCUUUACUGUCUUCAUGGCAACUGCAUCUGAAGACAGAAUUUACUUCAUGGAGUUGUUAGUGUUAAACGAUAUAACAGAUAUAAAACUUUUGGCACAGUGCCUGGCACAUAGCAUGUGCUCAAUAAACAUUUGUUGUUACUAUUCACCCCUUCUGGGGACGUAAUAGUGGAUCCCUGGUUUAGUGUGAGGAGCUGGCCAGGAAGUUUUGAUUCAUCCUCAACUGUGAUUUCUCAGCCACUUGGGCUGCCAUGUUUUCCCAGGAAGCAGCAAAUGGCCGGGACACUGGCACCUUGCUAUGAGACAUUGUAUUCAGCUUCCUAAAGUAAGGAGGCUGGAAGGCAGGUGAUAUACUCAGAGGUGAAUGCUCCUUGGUCUCCGGCCCACUUCAUUCUGCCAUUCAGAAGGGAUUUUUCAGUUAAUCAAAGAGAGGAGAGAGCAAGUCCAGUCAGCUCUCCCUUUCUAGAGAGAAGACUUGCCAGUACCUUUACAAGCCCUGCCUCAUCCCAGCCUCCCAUCCCUCAGGGUAGAGCAUGUGUGUCUCUUCUUCAGUCUCCUUGAAAGGACUAACAACUCUCAGAUAAAUACAUAAAUGGCAAGAAUAAUUAAAUCUGGCAGUGUUUGAAGUAAAACCCUGGCUUCUUACUGUCAUUUUACCCCCACGGGUCUCUUAUUCCAAGCCUGCGCCGAGUCCUUGAGCAGAAAGAAAUAACACUCCGGGCGCUUGGUGGCAAGGAACAGUCAACCGCACCCAUCAGCUGCCAGGCGGGUCCCCGGGCGAGAGCCUCGGGGCUGCCCUGCGGGGUGAGGCAGCUGUCUAAUAAAAGACCAUUUUCGUAAUCAGUGUUCGGUGCAAACGAACCGUUUUCAUUUAUAGAAACGGUGAAGCCACCUGCUAUUUAAAGGCCCCGUCCCCCCCCUCCUCCUCCUCCCGGGGCUGAAUCUUCCCGCCCCCUCCCUCGGCCGGCUGUGUCUCGUCAGAGUUCCCGUCUCCUCGCGCAGCAGCGUAAAUCUCUGACCGGCCACCGCCCGUGCAUUGCUUCUUACACUCGAUUUGGGCUCUGGGAUUAUGGCCCCUUCCACGAAAACAGCUCCCGUGAGAGCGGUCAGCCGAGGAGGAACUGGGUGUCCCUUCCCGCCCGGAGAGUGAGCAGAGCGCGCCUCCCUGGGCGUCCCGGCCGCGGCUUCCCUCCCACCGGCCCCCGCGGCUCCGCCGAGUCGGGCGCUGACGCCGGAGGCGGGGCGGAGAGGACGGGGAGGAGGAGAAAGUGCUGCCGCCGAGGCAGGAGCGCCGGAACCCCGAGCGAAAGGAAGGGCCUUGGAGAAAACGGCAGGAAGACGGCAAAACAAAAACACAGAUGGAGACAUGGGACCUUACAGCACCUCAAAGGGCAGAAGUCCAAGUGGGAAUAACCAAUUGCAGGAUGGAGAGCCUGUGAAAGGAAGCAUCCCUGCCUGGGUGAAAUAUAUGCUGAACCCUUCUGCUUAUCCUGAAAGCAAAAAUCUCUGAUAUAAACUUGCUUUUCCAUGCUUUUUACUUAA